CUUUAGCACCUUGUGGUACAAUGUUGUUUUUCCUUUCUUCUGUGUGUUUGGAACAGCCCCGGGAAUUUUGCCACCAAGAACCUUCAUUGAGCAGGCCCUAUGCAGUAUUGAUUCACUGAGGCACAGGGCUUCCCUCAAGAGUGCAAUUACAGUGAGGACAUAAACAGCCAGGAGACAGAAAAGAGCAGGAAAGCACUGGGCAAAGCUCCGUCUCUAAAAUAAGGCAACAAAAAAGGUAAAACAAAGAAAUUUUUCUGCAUAAAGAACUUCAGAACAAAUCCCUGCUCUUCUUCAGACA